CUGAGCUGUAUCCCCGGGCCUCUCUAUGGCUUCCUGAUGGCCCCUUGCCUUACUGCAGAAAUCUCUGUUCCUGCAGAAGCUGUCACCUGGUUCUACAGGAAGACCUGGGAGCCUCAGUCCCCUGCAGAUGUGCACCCCAUCUGCCCAGGAAUGAUCAUCCCAGGGAGCCUCUUUCUCCACUCAAAACAAUAAAAGGUCUUCAGCUCGGGGUCUCUGCAGUUUAUUAUCUGGGUAUUUUUUUCCUCUUUGUUACCGAUGAGCUAUUUUCCGAAUCCAGUUUCCCGUGUUGGCGGGAAGCUUGGGCCUCCCACACGCUGCUCAGACUCGCCUCCGGCUCACGCGUGGAGGGGAGCUGUGGGCCCAGCUCCAGAUGGCUGAGGGAGCCACAGCAGGACGGAGGAGGCUGAGGGACACACUGGAGGGACGGGAGCCACUGAGUGCUGAGAUGCUGGAGCUGCCGCUGUCUUUUUUCCAUCCGUGCAAGGAUUGCAGAGACCCGGGAUUUCAUUUCCUCUCCCAUGCCAGGGAGGUUUCUCAGAACAGGAUGUGGGAAUGGGCUCCAGAGAAUCAUCGGGGGUGGGCCCAGUGUGGCCACCAAGUUCUCUCCAGGGCUCUCUCCACCCCCCGAGGGACAGGUGUGCGCCUGGGAGCUGACAGCCACCACCAGCUCUCCCCUACGGGAGCAGCUGUUGGCUUCCGAAGGCACCUGGAGACGGAGGUUUAAAUCCCAGCUCUGCCCUUAGUAGGGCACUUGAACAAACUGCUUUCCCUCUUUAAGCCUUGAUUUUUCUUUUCUGUUGAAUGAGGCUGCUCUCCUAAGGUUGUCGCGAAGAUCAGGCGAAACCGUUGUUGCGAAGUGUCUUGGAGGCAGUAGGCGUGAGGCGGAGGCCGUGUUGCCGGAGACGCUGGGAUUGCAGGCAGUGGUUAAACUGGAAGGGUUCUCAGGGCAACUUGAGGGAGAACUUUCAAGAGCUAGGAAAUUAAUUGGAGGGUGCUAACUGUAGAAAUAAAGUAGCAGAUGAAAAUUACCUCUAAAAAGUCACAACAAAGCAAUUACGGGGAAAGAAAAAUGUAGAGGAGUAAGACACAAGCACGUGUCUGUGGCGUCAAGACCCAGGAAAGCACAGCCCGUCAAUCAACAGGCCGGAGCCACAGGGACCUUCAGAGCUGCCUGCAGUUACCCUCCCCAUGAGGCGGUGAGAAACUGAGGCCGGCAAGCCGGUGGAGACCAGGACCACACAGGGACCAGUACCAGCUAGACCUGGAAGAGUGAGGGAAAACUUAGAAUAAAAUACAAGUGAGGCUGGAAUCUCUCACUGGGUAUCGGGCAAGCUGCCCUACCUCAGUGCUCUCAUCUGUCAAGUGGGAAGAAGAGACUCUACCUGCUCAGGCUGCUGAGAGGAGGAGCUGGAUAAAGCCUGCAAAUGCAGGCUCAGCUGGCAUUAUGUGCCAGCAUUCUGCCUACGUCCUGGCCAGCCUGGCCUUGCCUCGGCCCCCCACCUUCUGUGAGGAUUGGAUAGAAUGUGAUACCCAUCCCCACCUCCCAGGGCCCUCAGCGGAUCCCAUCCUCCUGGCCAGUUUGGUGAAAGGAAUGGACAUUGACUAAGCCAAUCAUCCUGAAAGAAUCUGGGGGCUUUUGCCCAAAAUGCUGUCCCACCAUGUUCAACAGGAAGCAUGUGAUCUCAGGAAUGACUGCAUAGUUUCACAAGGACCACUGGAUCCAACCAUACCUGAAACUAGGUGCUGCAUGAACCAACACAUUCCUCAUUUCCUGAAGCCAGUUUGGUUUAUUCUCAGCCACUACUUAAUAAAACCUCUCCUAUCCCACCCAAUUACCAGCUCAUUUGAAACUGAGAUGCUCUUUUGCUGAAUACAGACUUCAGGGGUGUGGGAGGACUUUCCCCUCCAGCCUACACCGUCAUCCCAGCAGGCACCUGUUGUUGAGCAUGGCCAUUUGCUGCCCCCUCUGCCUACUCAGGGGCCCCAUGCACUCACCUUGCUCCUAGGCAUUACCAGGAGCCAGCUCCUCUCAGCUCAGGGGCCCUGUGCAGCCAGGCUCAGAGCUGCAUUAAAUAAUGACUACAGCCCUGAAACUGUUCAGAUGGAUCUACAUCAAGAAGGCCAGCGAGGGGAGCCCUUUAAAUAGCUCACCAGCAAGAGAUGGCAGGGCAGGCAGAGUGAGCCCUCAGCAGCCUUCCCCCCUGGUUCCUGGGCCUCCUCAGCCUGCUAUUAGCCUGCCUCACCCCAUCCCUGUCGUAAAUUAAUGCACACAUUGCUGGCUUAACAUGUUACUUCUCUAGUUGUGAAAAAAGGAACAGAACAUAGAAGCAGACUGUGUUUAACCUAAGGGACAGGAUCAGUGACAAUGGCUUUUAGGCAUCCUAAAAUCGUGACAGAACCAUGAAAUAUCUGUCCAGAGACAAAGCAACCUCUCCCACCCUCCUUGCAUCACCCACUGAGGCCCUAUCUUUCUUAUUAUCUCUUUCACUGACCAUGGACACUAUAUUCUUUCCUUUCUCCCUGGAGGCUGGACCCCCAAGUCCAUUCCACACGGAAUCCAGUUCAGGUUUGUGCUUGCUCCUCAGGGAAGACAGGAAGGGGGUGAGGGAGAGAGAGAAGCAGGAGCCUGAGUUCUCUGGGCAGGGCUGCCCCAAACCUCCCUUUGUACCUGGGAUUGGAAUUCCUGCUUGGCCAGGGUGAGGUCCAUCAUCAGCUGCAGGAUCGUGGGGCAGGGUGGGGGGCAGACCUUCAGGGGAGCGUCCCAAGGGUGAUGUUGCUACAGAACUCACUGCAUGACCGCUGGCCUCCAUCCCACCCCGGGGGCCAGACUCCCCUACCUUCCCACGAAGUACCAGGCACUGCCCCAAGGGCCUCAGGUGAAUUCUCUCAGUGAAUCCCCCAAACUAGCUUAUGAUCAGGGACUGUUAUUGUCUCCACUGUACAAAGGGAGAAAGUGAGGACCAGAAAGAUCAAGUAGCCCAGUGUUACCCAGCAAGGGAACGGCAGAGUCAGCAUUCAAGCACAGAGAGGCUGGCUCCACAGCCUGACCUUGACCUCUACAUUGCAAGGCCCACAAUUGACCCUGCCACUGCAAGCAUUCACCUCCUGCUACCUUUCUUGGCUGCCGUGUAUCGCCCACCAUACACUAGGGACUGAGGUGGCCACUAGUCCGUAUUCUAUUCUCUGUUCAUAACCACUGUACAGGAAAAGCUGAUGAGCCCCAUUACACAAACGAGGACACUGAGGGCCAGAAAAGAGAUGUGUCUGACCUCGGAUCACUCAGCUGGUAAAUGGCUGCGCAGUCAUUUGACCUCCGGUCCAUCCGACUCCUGCGUCCUGAGUUGUAACAGCCUUCAAAGAAUUUUUUCUUUUAGAUUUUUGAUUUUUAAAUUAUUAUAAAUUCUCAAGAGGUUGGAAAGAUAGUACAGAGAGAGCCCAUGUACCCUGCUCUGCGGUUUUCUCCAGUGGUUUCAUCUUAACUCCAGUGUGAUACCAAGGCCAGGAAACUGACGUCAGUACAAUGUGUGUGUAUUGUUCUGUCAUUUCGUCCCCUGUGCAUAUCUGUGAAAUCGCCAUAACAAUCCGGUCGUAGAACUGGUCCGUCACCACUGAGCUGCGGCUGUUCCUCCACAGUCACACCCACCUCUGCCCCGCCUCCAUCUUAGCCCCUGUGUGCAACUGUGAAUCUCUUUGCCAUCUCAAUAAUUCUACCACUUCGGGAAUGUUAUAUAAGUGUUAUUUCUUUAUAUUGGCUUUUUUUGACUCACACAGGUCCUAUUUUAAGAUAAACACUUAAGACGGGCGUGGUGGCGCGCGCCUGUAAUUCCAGCAUUCGGGAGACUGAGGCAGGAGAAUCGUUGUGAGUUCGAGGCCAGCCUGGGCUACAAAGUGAGCUCAAGGUCAGCCUGAACUGCAUAGUGAGACCCUAUCUCAAAAAAGACAAA
ensembl:lincRNA